rnacentral:rRNA from 1 species
GACGAACGCUGGCGGCAUGCCUAACACAUGCAAGUCGAACGGAGAUUAUUUCGGUACUCUUCGUGGCGAACGGGUGAGUAACGCGUGGGCAACCUGCCCUCUAGAUGGGGACAACAUCCCGAAAGGGGUGCUAAUACCGAAUGUGACAGCAAUCUCGCAUGAGGAUGCUGUGAAAGAUGGCCUCUAUUUAUAAGCUAUCGCUAGAGGAUGGGCCUGCGUCUGAUUAGCUAGUUGGUGGGGUAACGGCCUACCAAGGCGAUGAUCAGUAGCCGGUCUGAGAGGAUGAACGGCCACAUUGGGACUGAGACACGGCCCAGACUCCUACGGGAGGCAGCAGUGGGGAAUCUUCCGCAAUGGGCGAAAGCCUGACGGAGCAAUGCCGCGUGAGUGAUGAAGGAAUUCGUUCCGUAAAGCUCUUUUGUUUAUGACGAAUGUGCAGAUUGUGAACAAUGAUCUGUAAUGACGGUAGUAAACGAAUAAGCCACGGCUAACUACGUG